UUCACGGCCGCGGUAUUUUGACCGUGCAAAGGUAGCGCAAUCACUUGUCUUUUAAAUAAAGACCUGUAUGAAUGGUUAAACGAGGGCUUAACUGUCUCCCUAUUCCAGUCAGUGAAAUUGAUCUUCCCGUGCAGAAGCGGGAUUUAUUAUACAAGACGAGAAGACCCUUUGGAGCUUAAGGUACAAAACUCAACCACGUUCAGCAACUAUAAAAAAGAUUAAACUUAGUGGAAAAUGAGGUAUUACCUUCGGUUGGGGCGACCACGGAGGAUAAAAUAGCCUCCAAGAGGAUUGGGAUAAUAUAACCCAAAACCAAGAGAUACAUCUCUAAGCCACAGAAUAUCUGACCCUAUGAUCCGGACAUAUACCGAUCAACGAACCAAGUUACCCUAGGGAUAACAGCGCAAUCCCCUCCCAGAGUCCAUAUCGACGAGGGGGUUUACGACCUCGAUGUUGGAUCAGG
rnacentral:rRNA from 1 species